rnacentral:tRNA from 1 species
CUACUUAUGAGAAAAAUUUCUCCCCUACCA